UAGUGCCUACGGGGGGCAGCAGUGGGGAAUUUUGGACAAUGGGCGCAAGCCUGAUCCAGCUAUUCCGCGUGUGGGAUGAAGGCCCUCGGGUUGUAAACCACUUUUGUAGAGAACGAAAAGACACCUUCGAAUAAAGGGUGUUGCUGACGGUACUCUAAGAAUAAGCACCGGCUAACUACGUGCCAGCAGCCGCGGUAAUACGUAGGGUGCGGGCGUUAAUCGGAAUUACUGGGCGUAAAGGGGGCGCAGGCGGUUGAGGAAGACAGAUGGGAAAUCCCACAGCUUAACUCGGG
rnacentral:rRNA from 1 species